rnacentral:rRNA from 1 species
UACGAAGGGGGCUAGCGUUGCUCGGAAUCACUGGGCGUAAAGCGCGCGCAGGCGGCCUUUCAAGUCAGGGGUGAAAUCCCAGAGCUCAACUCUGGAAUUGCCUCUGAGACUGUGAGGCUUCGAGUACGGGAGAGGUGAGUGGAAUCCCCAGUGUAGAGGUGAAAUUCGUAGAUAUUGGGAAGAACACCAGUGGCGAAGGCGGCUCACUGGACUGGUAUUGACGCUGAGGUGCGAAAGCGUGGGGAGCAAACAGG